CACCCCCGCCCCCCCAGUGAUUUCCAUCCCCAACUGGCAAGUUACUUCCAACUGUCAAGUCACCUCCCAGUUUAAGUCUUCCAACUUGAGGCCGUGGAUAUCAUGGAACAAAGUUUCACCAGCCUAGUAAAAUGGGAGACCACACUUGACAACUAACAACUGACGGGAUGUACACAUUCAGUCCAGAUGACAAGCUCCAUGAGGGUAGGGCCCAUGGCCCUUUGCCUUACUCAGCCCAAAGCACCAUGACUGGAACAAAUACCUGUGAAUGAAUGAACGAACAAAUGAAUGAACUGAAUUUUCAAAUACAGGUUUCUGCAAUGCUUUCUGUUCUGUAUGCACGGGAUGCAGCCAGCAAUGCCAGCAUUUUUGUUCCUCUGAAUUCUUGUCGUUGGACACUGCCAGGAUUUAGGGUGGGGUCAGCCCGGGGCCAUUUUAGCCCCAAUAAAGAUCUGUUUUAUUCAA